rfam:Prevotella micans F0438 genomic scaffold supercont1.1, whole genome shotgun sequence.
AGUCGUAUCGAUUCGAUAGGGAUAGUCAUCAAAUAAAAUAGGAAACCGAGAUAACUUCUCUGAUUCAAUGGCGGGCCACAUAAAACGCGUUAAGCGACUAAGCCUAACAGGCCGGUGGAUUACAAAGGCAAGAAGCUCUCAAAUAAUUUGAACUCGGACUUUUCAUCACAUCGUCGAUACGACUUUUCCA